rnacentral:rRNA from 1 species
UACGUAGGGGGCAAGCGUUGUCCGGAUUCAUUGGGCGUAAAGCGAGUGUAGGCGGUCUGCUAAGUCGGGUGUGAAAGCCCUGGGCUCAACCCAGGAAGUGCACUCGAAACUGGCGGGCUAGAGUAUCGGAGAGGUUGGUGGAAUUCUCGGUGUAGAGGUGAAAUUCGUAGAUAUCGAGAGGAACACCGGUGGCGAAGGCGGCCAACUGGACGAAUACUGACGCUGAGACUCGAAAGCGUGGGGAGCAAACAGG